GAAAAAUAGGUGCAAACUUAUACAGGGUUUUUACCUUCUCUCGUUACAACAUUAUAAUCAUACUAAACAUAUCAUGCUGGGGUUAUUUUCUAAUCUAAAACCUUAAUUCAUAGUUCACCCAUUAAAGUCUUCCGACAAAAUCCAAAACGAAUUUCCUCACAGACCGACGGGGUUAACAUCCACACACUAUGGCCUGACACAUGUAAGAGGUCAGUUCCUCAAAAUGUUCAGAUUGAAUUCCGACAUAACCCAGAGGGAUCUCCUCGUGGAUCGAAGGUUCUAACAUUCACAGCCUAUAGCCUGACACAUUUAAGAGGUUUUGCUCCUCAGAAUGAUCAGUUAGAAAUCCUAAGUUU